UACGUAGGGUGCAAGCGUUAAUCGGAAUUACUGGGCGUAAAGCGUGCGCAGGCGGCUUUGCAAGACAGAUGUGAAAUCCCCGGGCUUAACCUGGGAACUGCAUUUGUGACUGCAUGGCUGGAGUGCGGCAGAGGGGAUGGAAUUCCGGCGUGUAGCAGUGAAAUGCGUAGAUAUGCGGAGGAACACCGAUGGCGAAGGCAAUCCCUGGGCCUGCACUGACGCUCAUGCACGAAAGCGUGGGGAGCAAACGGG
rnacentral:rRNA from 1 species